CGAGGAAUCUUGCGCAAUGGGGGAAACCCUGACGCAGCAACGCCGCGUGAGUGAGGAAGGUCUUCGGGUCGUAAAGCUCUGUCAGGCGGGAAGAAAUGCAUGGAGGUGAACAGCCGCCAUGCUUGACGGUACCGCCAGAGGAAGCACCGGCUAACUCCGUGCCAGCAGCCGCGGUAAUACGGGGGGUGCAAGCGUUGUUCGGAAUCAUUGGGCGUAAAGAGCGUGUAGGCGGCUUGGUACGUCAGAUGUGAAAGCCCUGGGCUCAACCCGGGAAGUGCAUUUGAAACUGCCAGGCUGGAGUAGGGGAGAGGGAAGUGGAAUUCCUGGUGUAGAGGUGAAAUUCGUAGAUAUCAGGAGGAACACCGGUGGCGAAGGCGACUUCCUGGCCCUAUACUGACGCUGAGACGCGAGAGCGUGGGUAGCAAACAG
rnacentral:rRNA from 1 species